GGGUCAUUGGGUAAGAUGGAUGCCUCACUCCCUUUCUUCAAGGAAGAAGGAAACCAAAGUCAGUAGAAAUAGAAACCUCCAGCCUCUGUGCUCUCAGAGGGUGAGCUUAGGGUUGAGACUUUCGGCGGGGCUGGGGGGGGGGCUCACCCUGACUAUGGGGUUCAAGGCCAAUGAGGAAGGUCCUUUGGUGAAUGGCCAUGUUGAUAUCUAUCUGCUUGCUGUCUUAGCUAAUAUAUGGUCUUCCCUUGGUCUUUUUCCUGGGACAAGGAAAGAGGGAGGAGAAUUUGACUUGGGUUGGGGGGGAACCCACUCAAGGAGGAGGUUAUAGCUGCCAAAACCUGUUUUUCCAUGGAGACCAAUUCAAUAUUCUUUAUCCUGCCAAUUUUCCACGCCACAGGUUUUCAGGCCUUCUGACCAUGAGGCAAAAGUGUAGCCUGAACUAAAAUCUGCAUUUAGGUUAAUGACUAGAUAUAAAUUCAAGAAACAUUUAAACUAUUUUCACAGUAUUGGUUUUGAUACAUGAAUUUCAUUUGUAUUUAUUCUAGGGUGUUAUUUUUUCCCCAUAUAGUUCCUCUCAAGUACAACGAUUGUUGUGUAUAAUAAUGCAUUUUCCAUCACCCGUUCCCACAUCCAUGAAAUUCCUGCAUUUGAGUGGAAGCCUGCCAAGACUAAGACUUGGUGGGAAAAAAAUUAAUGCCAUACUUAAUGCAGGUCCCAGAAACUCUUUUUCUACUUUUCUUCUUUACUUUCUCAAUUCAGUCUCUCUUCUUUCUUUCUUUUCCUCCUUCCUUCUUUCUUUCCCUCAAAACAUAUUUUACUGCUUAAUUCCUUUGGACAUUUGCCUAGAGUUUUGUAUCACCUGAUGAGGACGGGAAUACUAAUUGUCAGAGGAAACAUCAAAAAAGGACAGGAAUUUAAUAAUUCUUUUUCCAUUAAUGUGAUAUCCUUAUCUCUUUGGUUUCUUUAUUAAUCUAUAAUCGAAUUUCACAUAACUGGUUCUACAGAAAUCCCAUUGACCUGAAGCAGAUUUUUUUUUAAGAAGUGAAAAUCCAUUUUAAGCUCAUUACUUUAUGUGUCUUUUGCCUUUAUCUCUCUCCUAAAAGACAAGAAUGAUUUUCAUUUUAAGGAGAAAAAAAAUUCUCAUUCAUCAGUCUAAAAGAAACCCUGUCUUAUCCCAGAUUACCACCAUGGGAUUUAAAAUUCGGGUUGGCCUUGUUCUUGGUUUCCUGCUUUUAUAGUGUAGAUGGGGCAAAUCGUGGCAAAUAGUUAAGUGAAAACUCUCCCUGCUUUUGGCUUAGCCACCUUCGGGGAGAGAGUUUAUACUGUGUACCUGUUUUCACUCCCAAAGUGAGACGAUUCUUUAGGAAUACCUUCCCCAAACUGCAAGGACAGACAGCCUAUUAGUACACCAUUCUCAGUUCAUGUGCCAGCUGCUAUGUUUACCCUUCUUUUAUGCAAUAAAAGUUAAAAUUAUAAUGAAAUUCCCCAGGUUCAGACAGAUCUCAAAAUAAGUUUCUUAAGCUCAAAGAA
rnacentral:lncRNA from 1 species